AUAGCCUAAUAAUAGAACGAAUAGUUACUUUGUUACUGCUGAUACGUUUCACGUUUGAGAGAAGAACGAACGACAACUCUGUAUGUCUAAAACAUAAACAAAUCGGGUUCAACAUUUGAUUAGCACGGGGUACUGAAGCGAUCUUUAGAAAUACUAUGAGGGACAAAAUAGUUCAAGUAGGUAAUUAUGUUUAGAAUUAAUGACAGGUACAUAGCUACUGAGGAACUUAUCAUUUCAAUAAUCUUGUAUAAAAUAGAAGAAAAGAGGUAUGUAACUCCUUUUAUCAAUUGUGUACUACAUUCGCGUAAUAAUCUAACAUAUAGACGAUUCAGCGUGAAAUUAUUGUCAACAAACCCACGUGGAGCACAAAUGAUUUACAAUGAUUGACUGGAAGUGACAGGCCUUCUCUUCAAAAUAAACAAGAUGUGUCCCUGCUGCGGAGGCAGCUAACAGAAAGGGGAUAUAAUUAAGACUGCAUUGUGGAAUUGCCCUGUGCCACCUCUAAAUGGCAGAAGAAAACUCAACUCAGCACAACCAGAAACACUUUUCUGAAGAAAAUUCUGCCAAGAGACAGUUGUGAAGGGAACCGUGUAGAUAAUCUCCAGAAAAGAAAUCACCACUGAUAUUGGGAUAUAUGUACCAAUAUUUUAAUACAAUCAUCAAAGACAAAUUUACCACAGGAAUAAAAAUAAAACUGUUUGGCAUUCAAGGGCCUGCCAUGGUAGAAGCUCUCCUGAAAAAAUAUUCCAUUUAUUGUGGACAUCAUGACACAGGGCUCACCUGUCACCAGCAUUAAAGACUUGUGUGAUUUGUACUACCUGGGCCAUACAUGUAUUGAAUGAAAACAAUUCAUAGAACCACAAGCACAUUGUAAAUCUAUGUAAGGUCUUCUGUGUAUGUUGUAUUCCUUAUAUAAUUUGCUGUUUUAUAACAAGACUUUGUUUCAUUGGUACUAAAACUUAAUACAUGUACACAUACAAAACGCAAAAGCA